rnacentral:rRNA from 1 species
CUGGUAGUGGGGGACAACGUUCCGAAAGGAGCGCUAAUACCGCAUACGUCCUACGGGAGAAAGUGGGGGAUCUUCGGACCUCACGCUAUCAGAUGAGCCUAGGUCGGAUUAGCUAGUUGGUGAGGUAAAGGCUCACCAAGGCGACGAUCCGUAACUGGUCUGAGAGGAUGAUCAGUCACACUGGAACUGAGACACGGUCCAGACUCCUACGGGAGGCAGCAGUGGGGAAUAUUGGACAAUGGGCGAAAGCCUGAUCCAGCCAUGCCGCGUGUGUGAAGAAGGUCUUCGGAUUGUAAAGCACUUUAAGUUGGGAGGAAGGGCAGUAAGUUAAUACCUUGCUGUUUUGACGUUACCGACAGAAUAAGCACCGGCUAACUCUGUGCCAGCAGUCCGCGGUAAUACAGAGGGUGCAAGCGUUAAUCGGAAUUACUGGGCGUAAAGCGCGCGUAGGUGGUUCGUUAAGUUGGAUGUGAAAGCCCCGGGCUCAACCUGGGAACUGCAUCCAAAACUGGCGAGCUAGAGUAUGGUAGAGGGUGGUGGAAUUUCCUGUGUAGCGGUGAAAUGCGUAGAUAUAGGAAGGAACACCAGUGGCGAAGGCGAACACCCUGGA